AUAAAAAGUUCAUUUUAUAUCAAUCUGUUGACGCUGUAAAUCCCACAAACAAGUUUUAAUUAUGUAGCCAUAAAUAAUGGUAUGUUUCGUAUAUGUUUUUCUUAAGUAAUUUUUUUUACAAUUUGGUUUUGUCGAUUAUGUAUACAAAAUCAACUUUCAUUAAUUGUGUAUAUAUUUAUUUAUACAUGUUCUUUUCUUACAAAUUAGAUAACUUGGCUUGAAUAUUAUUGUAUAAUGCUUUAUAAAUAUAUAUAUAUAUAUAUAUAUAUAUAUAUAUAUGUAAAUACUGUUACACAUAUAUUAAUGUACCUAUCACAUUGUAGAUUGAAUAAAAUUAUGCUAUGUAUUUUCAUAUGGAUAAGAUAUUUAAGCGAAAGACUUUUUUUUAUAUCAUAGGUUCAUAUUUGACUGUGUGCAAUUAAAAUUUCAUAAUAAAUAAAGAAUACACCAUGAAAUAAGGAUAGUUUAAUGUCACAAGUGUACACGUACCAUAUAUAACACCAUGUACAAUAACAUAAAAGGGAAAUAAUACGAAUUAAUAACUUUGUUUUAUAUCAUUUUCAGUGUGAUACACACUGGGACUGGAAUGUAUAUUAUAUAACACGAAGAAAUGAAGAAAUUUGAUACGCUACAGAAUUGCCUUUAUGAACAUUGAAUGGAAAUAUUUAAAUAUACCUAGUAUAGUCGUAUUCUAGAUACAAUAAUAUAUGAAACACUUUUCUCUGUCAAAUACAAAUUAUUUGGUACAAUUGUAUCUAGAAAACAAUUAGAAAAUAGAUUAGUUAUCAUAAAAAGUUGUUUCAGACUGAACUUCUAGAAUGAAGGCAUCCCAAAAUAUAGGUCAACUGUGUAUUUAAGUUUCCUUCUAUAUAUUUUGCACGAAAAUAUCCAUCGAGCAUUUAGAGCUGUAUAUAUAUAUAUAUAUUAAAAAAAAAAGAAACGAUUGUCAUAAAUAAAACAAUAACCCAAUAUUCAUACUUCAGCUGUCUAUCGAUUAAAAGUAAAUACGUAUCAUAGGAACGCAUUCAUCUUGUUCACAUUUCACCACGUUAAAAAUAAAACAAGUUUGUAGUUCGUCAAAUAAGGUGAGAUUUAAUGUUUCCGCUAACGAAAAUCUAUAGAAUUCGAAGAUUUGCGGAUAUUAAGAGGAACGUUAGAUGCUCGGCUCGAAAAGCGAACGUAUUUUAGGUUAUGCGGCGAAAACGUUCAUCGGGCAGACUUCUAUGUAACAUCGUAUUCGGAAUUAGUUUUAACUUUCGCAUUUUAUAAAAUAUAUUGCUUAAACAAAAUAUAAUAAUCCGAAUUGCAUUUGAACGAUUUAAUUACUUUCCGAGUUAUCUCGGAUAACGAUUACGAAGUAUAGAUUUAAUUGAUUACGUAUUCGGAAUAUUUUAAGUUUCGCAUUUUAUAAAAUGCGUGCUUAAACAAAAUAUAAUAAUUCGAAUUGCAAUUUAACGAUUUAAUUGCUUUCCGAGUUAUCUCGGAACGGUUACGAAGUAUAGAUUUAAUUGAUUGCGAGUGCGAUAAAAAAAGAAAAAUGUUAGUAUUUGUGAUAACUGGUUGAAGGCUGGGUGCAAGAACGUAUAAGGAAUACGGGGAAUUGGCGCAACGGUGAGAGACCGCGAAAAUCAAUAGCGAGGUAUACCGUGUGUAACGGUGAUUGUCGAAUAUACUACACAACUACAUCCACAGGGAAAAAAUAACGAAUAUCCGAAGAGGGAAGUUUAAUAAUAACAAAUAUAUACAUAUAUAUAGUGAUGAUUUUCAAUUAAACACUUUUACUCAGAGAAUAAUUUAAUUAAAAGGGUCACACGGCGAAUGCGAAAGAAAAACUAGGACAAUGUUUAGCGUUUCUGUUACGGCACGAAAGAAAAUAAAUUAAUAUCGAAUUCGUAAUUUCUAGACUGCUGAUGGUGCAAUGUACUUCACGAGAUAUAACUAUGUACAAUAUAAUGAUAGUAAUAUUUCGUAUCGUAUAAAUGUAUAAAAUCUAAAUAUGUUUAGCAUGUUUUUCUAUUUUUUCAUACGUCAUACAUGGAUAAAAUUCGCAGUCUGGUAAUUACAACAAAAGAUAUAGAAUAAUGAAUAAAAGGCGAGCGAUUAUCGACCAAGUUACUCGACGAAUGAAAAUAAAAAUUUGAAGAGAAUGAAAUAUUUUACGAUGGAUAAAGAAAAUUGUAGCUGUUUAAAUAAGCAUCGCAAUAUUUGAAUAGAAUUCUGGCCAUCUACGGUAUGCGAUAUAUAUUCCGAUUUCAAUUUAUUUAUAUUUCCGUCUUCGUGUAAUAACUAUUAGCGAAUAACUCGCGUAUAAAUUCGCAAAUAAGAACAUGCGUAUAAAUCCGUCGGAAAAAUCGUUACGCGAGCUCGAAUUUGGCGCCGGGCGACCGUACAAACCGACCGAGUUGGAAGCGGAGUUCGCGAAGUAUCGAAAGCCGAGCGCCGAUAGCAAAUUAUCUCGCGUUAAGAUUCGAUAAUCUCGAGAUAAGAUAUCUCGAUCACCGACCGAGAGAACUAGUGAAUUUACAAUUUCGAAGAAGCCCUUUCAGCGUCGUUCUUUAUCGAACUUACCGUUACACACACCCCGAUAUAUUCGACGCACAACGUAUUACAGAUCGACGUCGAAUCAUUACUCUCGAAACUUUUCACCGUCGGGCUCUGCUACACUUCUCAACCUAGCGAAAGACGCGAAAAAUCCGUUCUUUUUCUCUUCAUUUUUUUUUUUUCAAUCGUAUCGAUCGAUCACACGACGUUUUUUCGCGAACCUUCUGAAACCCCGUGACAUCUCCUCGAGGAUUGGUGAAAAAUGAGUUGGUGAAAAGUAGGUGCUGGAAGAG